UACAGAGGUCUCAAGCGUUUGUUCGGAUUCAUUGGGCGUAAAGGGUGCGUAGGCGGCGCGGUAAGUCGGGUGUGAAAUCUUGGAGCUUAACUCCGAAACUGCAUUCGAUACUGCCGUGCUUGAGGACUGGAGAGGAGACUGGAAUUUACGGUGUAGCGGUGAAAUGCGUAGAUAUCGUAAGGAAGACCAGUGGCGAAGGCGGGUCUCUGGUCUGUAACUGACGCUGAGGCGCGAAAGCGUGGGGAGCGAACAGG
rnacentral:rRNA from 1 species